AAAAAAAAUUCUAAAAUCAGAGAAGCGCGCAUUCGUUUUCUCUCUCCUCGAUUCUUCGACCUCUUCCUCUUCAGCUUCGUUCUGUCGUCGCCGUCGCUUCUUCACCGCCGGAGAUCGAUCUCCCCCACCGCCGUUGAUCUCUACCCUCUUCCAGAUCAGACUAAUUCAGGUAGUUUGGAUCACUGGAGCCAGCCGUGGAAUCGGAAAAUUGAAGACAGGUCUACGUAACAAAGGAAGAAAACGACUGAACAUGUCAAACUUGUUUACUUUGGUUGCACUGCCUGCAUUAGGUAGAGCAUGAGGCAGCAGGAACAAGAAACUUUGGAGAACUCAGCAGUUCUCGCACAGUAAGGUUGCCUGAUAUGCGAUUGCCUAUGUAGUACACAUUGUCGUGGCCUGAUAGCUGCUCUAAGAUAACCUGGCCACGCUUCGAUCUCUGCAAGUAUUCAAUUAUCCGAGGGAGCGGCCUUUCACCUUUGAGGAGAUAGAUGAAGUUCGAGAAAUGUUGGCAAACUCCAUUAGUAGUGAUUGUCUUUGAUAUUUUCUUGUAUUAAAUCUUAAAUUAUGGAUGUUAGUUUUUCAUAUAAUUGUAAUGUAAACUACUUUUAUAUUUACAAUUAUAUACUAUUUAAUUUAAUUAUCUAUAUAAUUGGAUA